rnacentral:rRNA from 2 species
UGCAAGUCGAGCGAACUGAUUAGAAGCUUGCUUCUAUGACGUUAGCGGCGGACGGGUGAGUAACACGUGGGCAACCUGCCUGUAAGACUGGGAUAACUUCGGGAAACCGAAGCUAAUACCGGAUAGGAUCUUCUCCUUCAUGGGAGAUGAUUGAAAGAUGGUUUCGGCUAUCACUUACAGAUGGGCCCGCGGUGCAUUAGCUAGUUGGUGAGGUAACGGCUCACCAAGGCAACGAUGCAUAGCCGACCUGAGAGGGUGAUCGGCCACACUGGGACUGAGACACGGCCCAGACUCCUACGGGAGGCAGCAGUAGGGAAUCUUCCGCAAUGGACGAAAGUCUGACGGAGCAACGCCGCGUGAGUGAUGAAGGCUUUCGGGUCGUAAAACUCUGUUGUUAGGGAAGAACAAGUACGAGAGUAACUGCUCGUACCUUGACGGUACCUAACCAGAAAGCCACGGCUAACUACGUGCCAGCAGCCGCGGUAAUACGUAGGUGGCAAGCGUUAUCCGGAAUUAUUGGGCGUAAAGCGCGCGCAGGCGGUUUCUUAAGUCUGAUGUGAAAGCCCACGGCUCAACCGUGGAGGGUCAUUGGAAACUGGGGAACUUGAGUGCAGAAGAGAAAAGCGGAAUUCCACGUGUAGCGGUGAAAUGCGUAGAGAUGUGGAGGAACACCAGUGGCGAAGGCGGCUUUUUGGUCUGUAACUGACGCUGAGGCGCGAAAGC